rnacentral:misc_RNA from 1 species
GAUGAAGAACGCAGUGAAAUGCGAUAAGUAAUGUGAAUUGCAGAAUCUCGUGAAUCAUCGAAUCUUUGAACGCACAUUGCGCCCUAUGGUAUUCCGUAGGGCAUGCCUGUCUGAGCGUCAACUCCCACCCUCUCAAGUCUUCUUUUUUGUUAAGGAGAUUUGGAUUACUUUGAGGAAGUAUCGUUUUUUUUUUUAAAAUGCUACUCCUCAGAAAUUCAUAGGCAGUAUGGUCAAACCUGAACCAGGCGUAAUAAUUCUAUAAAAAUCGUCUAUGAAGGAAUGUCUGUAUUAGCCUUUAACCCCCCCUAAUUUAUUUUACUUGGGUGACCUCAGAUCAGGUAGGGAUACCCGCUGAACUUAAGCAUAUCAAUAAGCGGAGGA